CGAAGUAGCUCAGUUGGUAGAGCAACUGAUUCGUAAUCAGUAGGUCGGAGGUUCGAUUCCUCUCUUCGGC
rnacentral:tRNA from 1 species